UUCGGAUAUUGGUUGGCCCUAUGGUUUCUUGGAGCGGAAUAAACCCUUCGCACGUCCCCCUCUCCCUCCCCUACCAUUACUGCUGCUGCGACCGCCACAACUUGCGUGCUAUUUCUUCUUCUCACCGCCUUUGAAAACCCGGCCUGGUGGGUUUUGGACGCAGUCAUCCGUUCGGUGAUGCGCUCUCGCCCUAGCGACCACUUCAGCCGCCGAGGGCAAUUCAAAUAUCUCUCUGCUCCGAUGAUUUCUCCAACAAGUUUGGGAUGUUGUCGGCCAAUCUGGUAAACUCUUCCCUGUAUCGGUAAUCUUUCCAAAUCCCGAUCUCUUCUCAAGCCGUUGGGUUAUGAACUAUCCCCAAUGUUCCGCAUCCUGGCGUUUCAUGGAAGGUUAUUGAUAUCUCAAGAAAAUAAAAAGGCGGGGUACUUUUUCCAGUCAAAUCAGAGAAUUGACUUCUUAGCUUCGAGGAGUCAUGGGUCGCUUAGGAAGAAAGGGCUACCUUUUCUCUUGUUCAGAGUUUUUUCGCAAUUUAGGUUUCCUGUUGGAGGUAAUAACGUGCUUGGACGACACAAGGGUAUGGGCCACGUUAACCGAAGUAGCUCUAGCUACACGAAGAGCUUGUACACAAUGUCGAGGAGUAAUUAUUCGGCGACCCAUCAUGCCAAAUUGGCUUGGGAGAGGCUUAGUCUAAUCUGUUCGUAUGACGGUCCAGCCUUAUCUAUGAUAAGUAAGUUAGCCUGUGCUGUGAGCUUGUCUUUCACUCGGUUUCAAGUAGUUCCUGGUGUUCUUGCAUUUAGUGUUGGGGAGUUGGCAUGGGCUCAGAAGGCAUGGGCAGAUGGCAAUUUCUAUAGUUCAAGAAAUGGUCUUCUUAUGCAAGCAGAAGCUGGCAGCCUUUACUUCUCUUCAGUAAUUUUCUCUAUCAUAGAGGGUUUUAUUUUGGUAUUGCGAGCAGCGUACUUGUCGAUCUUAUUUUUGCCAGCCAUCUUGUUAGCACCCUUUGCGGAUAGUUUCGGACUUGAAUUCAGGAAAAGAUGGCUUCAGGUUGUCCAUCGCACUCUGGAGAGAGCUGGUCCUGCAUUCAUAAAAUGGGGUCAGUGGGCAGCAACACGCCCAGACCUCUUUCCGAAAGAUCUAUGCCUUGAGCUUACAAAACUUCAUACAAAAGCACCUGCUCAUAGUUUUGCGUACAGCAAAACCACCAUCGAGAAGGCGUUUGGUCGGAAACUUUCUGAAAUUUUUGAGUACUUUGAGGAAAAACCAGUAGCAUCAGGAAGCAUUGCACAAGUUCAUCGAGCUUCUUUGAGGUUUGCCUAUCCAGGUCAACAGUUGAAGAAACCCAUUGAAGUUGCUGUGAAGGUUAGGCAUCCUGGUGUGGGUGAUUCAAUAAGGAGGGAUUUUAUGAUAAUCAAUCUUGUAGCCAGAAUUUCAAGCCUAACUCCUGGUUUAAGCUGGUUGAGGCUGGAUGAAAGUGUACGGCAAUUUGCAGUUUUUAUGAUGUCUCAAGUUGAUCUUUCUCGGGAAGCUGCUCACUUAAGCCGGUUUAUCUACAAUUUCCGCAGAUGGAGAGAUGUGUCUUUUCCUAGGCCUUUAUAUCCGCUUGUGCAUCCUUCUGUUCUUGUGGAGACAUUUGAACAAGGAGAAAGUGUUUCACGCUAUAUUGAUGAGCUUGAAGGAAAUACUCGGAUUAAAAGAGAUUUGGCACACAUUGGUACACAUGCACUCCUGAAGAUGCUUCUGGUUGACAAUUUUAUUCAUGCGGAUAUGCACCCUGGAAAUAUCCUUGUGCGGGUACCUCACACCAAGAGGUCGAGAAAGAAGAUCUUUAGACCCAAGCCUCAUGUCAUUUUCUUGGAUGUAGGAAUGACUGUUGAACUCUCUAAAAGUGACCGUGCUAAUUUGUUGGAGUUCUUUAAAGCUGUAUCUCUUCGAGAUGGUCGUACUGCUGCAGAAUGUACAUUGAAAUUGUCACAGCAUCAAGGUUGCCCGAACCCAAAAGCCUUUAUUGAGGAGUUGGAGAGGACAUUCACCUUUUGGGGUACCCGUGAAGGUGAUAUCUUUCAUCCUGUUGAAUGCAUGCACCAACUUCUUGAACAGGUUCGGCGUCAUAGAGUCAAUGUUGAUGGCAAUGUAUGCACCGUGCUGGUGACCAUUCUGGUUCUUGAGGGCUGGCAACGCAAGCUAGAUCCUGACUUUGACAUCAUGAAUACACUAAAAACGUUGUUGCUCAAAGAAGACUGGGCACAACCCAUUGAUUAUUAUUUUUCCUAAAUAAUUUUGUGUUUUGACAUAAAAUUCAUGAAAGGAAUUUAUUGGGGUACAUUAUGCGGCAAUCAACAGAUUGUUCGAGUUCUUCUUGGUAAUGCCCAGAUUUAGUGACAUGAGAGCAACUGCUGUGAAGCACCUUAUAGCUUAGGUCUCCGUGGACCCAGUUUUACUUAUCCACAAUUUUGAAGCUGUGAGGCACCUUAUAAUUUAGGCCUCUGUGUACCCUUUUCGCCUUAUCUGCAAUUCUGAAGCUGUUCAAGGACCAACAACAUUUUCCAAGCAUGUCAAUAGAUUUUAAGAAUGUAAUGCGUGUAAUUUGGAAACCUGUUUUAUCGAAUGGAUACUUUACCUCUGUUGGUGGUGCCAUUCUAUUUCCAGCAAUUGAACUGCCCUACUGUAAGCCUUUAUUAUUUAAGUAGAUCGGUGAUCAGUAUUCACACA